GAUGAACGCUAGCGGCAGGCCUAACACAUGCAAGUCGAGGGGUAAUCACGCAGCAAUGCGGGAACGACCGGCGCACGGGUGAGUAACGCGUAUGCAACCUUCCUUUAACUGGGGGAUAGCCCGGAGAAAUUCGGAUUAAUACCCCAUAAUAUUAUUGAAAGACAUCUUUUAAUGAUUAAAGCUCCGGCGGUUAAAGAUGGGCAUGCGUGCCAUUAGCUAGUUGGUGAGGUAACGGCUCACCAAGGCUACGAUGGUUAGGGGGUCUGAGAGGAUGAUCCCCCACACUGGUACUGAGACACGGACCAGACUCCUACGGGUGGCAG
rnacentral:rRNA from 1 species